UUGGAUUUGUUGUGUGCCACAAAUGAUGUCGAGGGUCGUGCUUUGUCUGGAUUUGAUACUGGUGUCUUAACCAUGACUUCGUGCAAGCUAGAUGGUCGCGUUAGCAAUCUGCAGAGUUUGUUACAAAGACGCAGGGGAAAAUGAUGAGGUCUGUUCGUAACGGCUGAUGUAUGAUAAGUGUUUUGUUCGUAACGUUCGGUCACCAUACAGCUGUUACUGGUUUCUUAAAUUUAUCAUGUUAUAAAUAGCUGAAUGUCUGGUUCCUUGCAUUACACACUUUCACGAAUGUUCACUUUAAAAAUCUGUUGGUUUGCGAAAUCUUGUAUGUGAAGUGAAUGAAUUAGCGAGAACAACUUAUCUUCAUUGUUAUUGUGUGUUGUUUUGUAUAUUUUCUGUGAAGUUGAUCUGUGUGUAGUAAUCCAAAUAUGCUCUGUCCCCUGCAACUCUUAGGUCCUGCUUUCAUUCACUUUAACGUACAAACAUUUGUAAUAGCUUGAAAGCCAGGUUAAAAAAAAAAAACAUUUGUAAUUGCGUGCUACGCAAGAGACUGGGAACUAAAUUUUCUUUUUUUAUUGAUUUUAUAAUAAUUAAGUAUUGGGAAAUAAUAAUUGUGAUAUUCAGAUCGCAUGUUGGAAUGUUGCAUGAAAGAAAUAAAGUUGCUUAUAUAAAAAGAAUUUUCGCAUGUUGAAACGUUGCAUGAAAGAAACAAAGUUGCUUAUAUAAAAGGAAUAACAACCACGACUCAUAGUUUUAAAUUCAU